AGCGAACGCUGGCGGCAGGCUUAACACAUGCAAGUCGAGCGGGCGUAGCAAUACGUCAGCGGCAGACGGGUGAGUAACGCGUGGGAACGUACCUUUUGGUUCGGAACAACACAGGGAAACUUGUGCUAAUACCGGAUAAGCCCUUACGGGGAAAGAUUUAUCGCCGAAAGAUCGGCCCGCGUCUGAUUAGCUAGUUGGUGAGGUAACGGCUCACCAAGGCGACGAUCAGUAGCUGGUCUGAGAGGAUGAUCAGCCACAUUGGGACUGAGACACGGCCCAAACUCCUACGGGAGGCAGCAGUGGGGAAUAUUGGACAAUGGGGGCAACCCUGAUCCAGCUAUGCCGCGUGAGUGAUGAAGGCCCUAGGGUUGUAAAGCUCUUUUGUGCGGGAAGAUAAUGACGGUACCGCAAGAAUAAGCCCCGGCUAACUUCGUG
rnacentral:rRNA from 1 species